CAGGCGCUCUGUCACCCUACAAGCAUGGAGUGGAAUAGCAAUGAGGUCAGGGAGCGCAUGUGGGUGUACACCGGCUCCGCUCAAACAGACCAUUUCUCCAGGGGCGGGGGCUGCAUUCCAGCCUUUACACAUCAGUCUUUUACAAGGCAAGAAGCUGGGUCUGGCUUUACUGAAUAACAAUUCUUUCCCAACGAAUGAUCACAGGCUCUCAAGGUGCAAGACAAAAAGGAAAUGUGCCAACAGGCCAGCCCAAGAGCGAGGUGCAAGUACGUCUGGUGCCUCCCACAGAUCACGAUCACCUGCUUCUCUGUUCAGGAAACUGGACCCAAUAGGCACAGUGCGAGCUAGGAGGAAGUUCACGUCUCAGCAAUGCUGUAUUUCUGACAUGAGCAAAUGCAAGCUACCCUCUCCAACAGGCCCCGUUAGCCCAUCUACUCGGCCAGCCGCGUGCCCCUGCCAAGAGACAAUUCUGAUGUCUACAGAUCCUGCUGUUUACAGGUGCUGCACAAACACAUCCCUGCCCUGGGAGGUGUCCGAGGCAACAGAGAAGACAGAAGAGGCGGGUGAGAGGAUCGGGCUGGGGGCAGACAGGACAAAGGAGCAGCAGGAACCGGAGGCUGUAGAAGGGACCAGCCAUGUGUCCAGUUCACAGAUGCCGAGUCGCAAGCAAAGAAAUCACCGCGUCCUCCUCCGGCUUCCCUAGCCAGUGCUGUCCUGAUUACUCACAAUCACCAGCUGCUCCCUUAGCCCUGCAUCACUGAGGAGAUGGCCACUGGCCUGGGGCCCUGGAGGAAGGAGGCGGGAAACUGAGCAGGAGCCAAAAUCGUAAACCAGAAAGGAGGCACCUGCCUGUGACGGGACCCUGAACGGACGAGUUCUUACUUGGAACCAGCAGCUAAAAGGCUCCAUGUCCGGCUCCCAGUCCCCCUAGCCCCUGCCCAGGCCCCGAGCCCCCUUGACCCAUGGAUCUCAAAGAGCUUUACACAGCUACGCUCUACACUGCCUCUCCGAGGGUGAACGAAGCCAUUCCUGUUUUUCAAGGCCACACAGG